rnacentral:lncRNA from 1 species
GAAAAGCUAAAUGGCGGUUUGAAAGGAAGAAAUGUUAAAACUAACGGAGUGAAAGAGGUUCACUACAGAGGAGUAAGAAAGAGGCCAUGGGGACGUUACGCUGCUGAAAUCCGUGAUCCCAGCAAGAAGAGCAGGGUUUGGUUAGGCACCUUCGACACGGCGGAAGAGGCGGCAAGGGCUUAUGACGUCGCCGCCAGAGCGUUCCGAGGACCCAAAGCCAAGACGAACUUCCCGUUGUGCAGGGUUUGGUUGGGCACCUUCGACACGGCGGAAGAGGCGGCAAAGGCUUAUGAUACCGCCGCCAGAGAGUUUCGUGGACCCAAAGCCAAGUCGAACUUCCCCUUGCCGUCGGAGAAUCAGUGUCCCAGUAACAGCAGUGGACCAACAGAGUCGUCCAGUGGAGAAACCGGUGUUCACGCUCCUCACGCACCCUCUGAGCUCGACCUCACGCGCCCCCUUGGAACCCUCGCUGUAGGCGGUGACCAUGGUGGUUGUAAAUCAGAAGUUGGAUUGGUGAGAAAUGGGAUUCCGAUUUUCCAUCAUCAACCUGUUAUGGGAGUUCUGACUAGUGACGACAGUGGCGUUGCAGAGUCCUCUAGUGGAGAAACCGGCGUUCACGCGCCUCUUGAGCUCGACCUCACGCGCCAUCUCGGCGCCGUUGGUGAGGGUGGCAACCAUGUCCGAAAUGGGUUUCCCGUUUUUUAUCAGCAACCGACAGUGGCGGUUCUGCCUAAUGGCCUGCCAAUUUUGUUGUUCGACAGUACUUUUGUGCCAACCGGAGUAUGGAACCGGCAAAAGCCGUACAGGUUUGAACCGGUGGGGGUUGAGUUUAACGGCGUUAGUGGUAGGGUAGUUCAUAGCGACGCGAGCUCAUCCGCUGCGGUGAAGGAGAAUCAUUACGGAGGGGGCGGCGUAGGUAGAAGAGAACUAAAUCUUGAUCUAAACCUUGCCCCACCAAUGGAAGCUUGAUAAUGACAACUUAAUUAGAGAGAGAGAGAGAGAGAGAGAGAGAGAGAGAGAGAGAGAGAGAGAGAUUAAUUGCUGAUUUUUGUAUAUAGGUUCAAAAACUGUUCUUGUUUUUGCAGCUGAAUGGGGUGGUUGUUAAUUAUCUCUUGCUGUUUCUACCAUUUGUACCUCAUUACCCAUCUUUUAGAUCUGCUGAUUAAACUUCUUUCAAAAGAAAAUUGGUGUGUGCUUUUCAGCUAUGUUCUGUUCAUAAAAUUGGUGUGUGCUUUUACUUCUGUUUUACUUUUUCCUCGACGAUGUAUCCCCGAGUUUGUAUGCGUGGAUAGUUAGAAAGGUUAUUUUUGAGAUAUUGUUGGUACUAUAUUGGAUCUUGGUAGGUUCGUCAUUCAGAUCACAACUCUUUUUUUCCUGUUCAAUUUGCGUUUGAGGGGUUGUUUGAACAAAUAUGUUGGCCAUGUAACAGUGCAAAUAGUUCGAAUGUUCGUUGCCGGCCGGCCUCUAAGCUAAAGAAUAAGAAAAGGUUAUGAUAUGUUUGUUUGGACGGUAGUUUUUUACACCUCAUUUUAGGGGUAGU